UACAGAGGUCUCAAGCGUUGUUCGGAUUCAUUGGGCGUAAAGGGUGCGUAGGCGGCGCGGUAAGUCGGGUGUGAAAUCUCGGAGCUUAACUCCGAAACUGCAUUCGAUACUGCCGUGCUUGAGGACUGGAGAGGAGACUGGAAUUUACGGUGUAGCGGUGAAAUGCGUAGAUAUCGGGAGGAACACCUGUGGCGAAAGCGGCUCACUGGACCAUAACUGACGCUGAGGCACGAAAGCUAGGGGAGCAAACAGG
rnacentral:rRNA from 1 species